UGCUAUACAUGCAAGUCGAGCGGACAGAAGGGAGCUUGCUCCCGGAUGUUAGCGGCGGACGGGUGAGUAACACGUGGGUAACCUGCCUGUAAGACUGGGAUAACUCCGGGAAACCGGAGCUAAUACCGGAUAGUUCCUUGAACCGCAUGGUUCAAGGAUGAAAGACGGUUUCGGCUGUCACUUACAGAUGGACCCGCGGCGCAUUAGCUAGUUGGUGAGGUAACGGCUCACCAAGGCGACGAUGCGUAGCCGACCUGAGAGGGUGAUCGGCCACACUGGGACUGAGACACGGCCCAGACUCCUACGGGAGGCAGCAGUAGGGAAUCUUCCGCAAUGGACGAAAGUCUGACGGAGCAACGCCGCGUGAGUGAUGAAGGUUUUCGGAUCGUAAAGCUCUGUUGUUAGGGAAGAACAAGUGCAAGAGUAACUGCUUGCACCUUGACGGUACCUAACCAGAAAGCCACGGCUAACUACGUGCCAGCAGCCGCGGUAAUACGUAGGUGGCAAGCGUUGUCCGGAAUUAUUGGGCGUAAAGGGCUCGCAGGCGGUUUCUUAAGUCUGAUGUGAAAGCCCCCGGCUCAACCGGGGAGGGUCAUUGGAAACUGGGAAACUUGAGUGCAGAAGAGGAGAGUGGAAUUCCACGUGUAGCGGUGAAAUGCGUAGAGAUGUGGAGGAACACCAGUGGCGAAGGCGACUCUCUGGUCUGUAACUGACGCUGAGGAGCGAAAACGUGUGGAGCGAAUACCAUUCUACACCGUGGUUGUUCACCCCGUCUAAAACGAUGAGUGCUAAGUG
rnacentral:rRNA from 1 species